GUACGCUGGCGGCACGCCUAACACAUGCAAGUCGAACGAAGUAGCAAUACUUAGUGGCAGACGGGUGAGUAACAUGUAGGUAUCUACCCUUUGGCCUGGAAUAACACGAGGAAACUUGUGCUAAUACCGGAUAAGUCUUUACAGAGAAAGCUUUAUGCACCAUUGGAUGAGCCUGCACUUGAUUAGUUUGUUGGUGGGGUAAUGGCCUACCAAGACUGUGAUCAAUAGCUGAUUUGAGAGGAUGAUCAGCCACAUUGGGACUGAGACACGGCCCAAACUCCUACGGGAGGCAGCAGUGGGGAAUCUUGCACAAUGGAGGAAACUCUGAUGCAGCGAUGCCGCGUGAGUGAAGAAGGCCCUUGGGUUGUAAAGCUCUUUCGUCGGGGAAGAAAAUGACUGUACCCGAAUAAGAAGGUCCGGCUAACU
rnacentral:rRNA from 1 species